rnacentral:tRNA from 3 species
GGCACUUUGGCGGAGUGGUUAACGCGAUGCCCUGCUAUUGCGCAAGCAAAGUUGACAGGCAUUUCCCUCGGGAGCGUGUGUUCGAAUCACACAGGUGUCG